UACGUAGGGGGCAAGCGUUGUCCGGAAUCAUUGGGCGUAAAGAGCGUGUAGGCGGCCCGAUAAGUCCGCUGUGAAAGUCCAGGGCUCAACCCUGGAAUGCCAGUGGAAACUGUCGGGCUAGAGUCCGGAAGAGGCGAGUGGAAUUCCUGGUGUAGCGGUGAAAUGCGCAGAUAUCAGGAGGAACACCGGUGGCGAAGGCGGGUCUCUGGGCCGAUACUGACGCUGAGGAGCGAAAGCGUGGGGAGCAAACAGG
rnacentral:rRNA from 1 species